UUCAUUCAUUUUCUCAUGCGCUCUCUGUCACCUUUCUAGCUCGAUCUCCCUCUUCUGGAACUUAGCGCUCUGAGCAUGCGGUUUUGCAACGGCCAUUUCGUACCGCUUCGAUCUCAUCACCUUCUCUCCCCUCCGACCCCCCUUUUUGAUCCACGCUUUGGGGCUUGCAAAUUUUUGACAUGUCACAUGAGAGUGACACCAAAAUGUAAACAGCAAGUGUUUGCAUGUGCGGUGAUUUUUAAAAUUUAGUUGUAGUGGAAGCGAAAAAAAAUGCUUGGAGCAUGGAAUAAAGCCGAAUGAAAUUUCUAACCUUUACGCACGACGCCGCCGCUAGGUAAGGUAUGUUUAUGUGUAAUUACGAUCAUUGUUCCAUUUUAGGGUGUGGUUUGUGCAAUAUAACCGUUCCUGGCGGGGAUAGUCAAUAGUCGAUACCCUUUGGAGCUGUGAAGGGGUGCAGAAGAAGGGGCUCGUUACCACCUUUCCCAAACCCGGACUCUUUUUCCGCGGAUAAAGGAUAUGUUCCUGGCUAUAUACGCCAAAUCUAACGGUGAUCCGUAUCGUGAACGAAUCGGCAUAGGCGGUGCCAGUCCCCGGCGGUUUGUGCAAGUGGUACACAACGGUAUAGAGUACGAUAG